rnacentral:rRNA from 1 species
UACGUAGGGUGCGAGCGUUAAUCGGAAUUACUGGGCGUAAAGCGUGCGCAGGCGGUUUUGUAAGCCAGGUGUGAAAUCCCCGGGCUCAACCUGGGAAUGGCAUUUGGGACUGCAAGGCUGGAGUGCGGCAGAGGAGACUGGAAUUCCUGGUGUAGCAGUGAAAUGCGUAGAUAUCAGGAGGAAUACCGAUGGCGAAGGCAGGUCUCUGGGCUGACACUGACGCUCAUGCACGAAAGCGUGGGGAGCAAACGAGG